rnacentral:misc_RNA from 1 species
GUGAGUCAUCGAAUCUUUGAACGCACAUUGCGCCCCGCGGCAUUCCGCGGGGCAUGCCUGUCCGAGCGUCAUUGCACCCCUCAAGCGCGGCUUGGUGUUGGGCGCGGCCCCCGCGGCCGGCCCCAAAGGCAGUGGCGGCGCCGCCUGGCCCCGAGCGCAGUAACGCUCUCGCUCCGGGACCCGGCGGUGGCCCGCCAGGAACCCCCACUCCAGGUUGACCUCGGAUCAGGCAGGGACACCCGCUGAACUUAAGCAUAUCAAUAAGCGGAGGA